rnacentral:rRNA from 1 species
GACGAACGCUGGCGGCGUGCUUAACACAUGCAAGUCGAACGGAAAGGCCCUGCUUUUGUGGGGUGCUCGAUUGGCGAACGGGUGAGUAACACGUGAGUAACCUGCCCUUGACUUUGGGAUAACUUCAGGAAACUGGGGCUAAUACCGGAUAGGAGCUCCUGCUGCAUGGUGUGGGUUGGAAAGUUUCGGCGGUUGGGGAUGGACUCGCGGCUUAUCAGCUUGUUGGUGGGGUAGUGGCUUACCAAGGCUUUGACGGGUAGCCGGCCUGAGAGGGUGACCGGCCACAUUGGGACUGAGAGACGGCCCAGAAUGCUACGGGAGGCAGCAGUGGGGAAUAUUGCACAAUGGGCGGAAGCCUGAUGCAGCAACGCCGCGUGCGGGAUGACGGCCUUCGGGUUGUAAACCGCUUUCGCAUGUGACGAAGCGUGAGUGACGGUAAUGGGUAAAGAAGCACCGGCUAACUACGUG